UUUUGGAAAUCCCGCCAUGAAAAUUCAAUAUCCCGCCACCGAUUUUGGGUCCAAAUCGAUCACCAGUACGUACUCCUUACGACCUUCUUCUUCUCCACUACAAUAAUCGACGAAUUUGACCACUCCUUCCUCGCCUCAAACCCUUCUCUCGUGCGUCAACCGGCGACUCCACUUCAUCGUGUCGACCAUCACAUCGGUGUGUCAAACCCUUCUCCUCUCCUAUAUUAACCCUAUCUCAUUCCUCGUCUCACUAGCUAGGUCGCCAAAUCAUUGUCCAUGUAGCAGUAUUCGAUCUUCUAGACGACUCAACAUCUCUAUUGGUGUUGUACUUUGUAUGUUUAUUAAUUGGUCAAAGAUCUGGUCUUCAAAUUAAAUUUGUUGAUACCUGCUCUUAAAGGGACUUUUUAGCUCUCCGUGUAAAGAUAAGUGAUCUUUCGUGAUGGUUUUGUGACAUUUUAAAGUUAUAUAACCAGGUUCCUGUUAUAUUUAAUGCAGAUGGUAUUAAGAACUUUGUUAUCAUUAGUAGACAAAAAUGCCCCUCCACAUUUCAAUCCUUUUUUCACCCAUAAUAAAGAUUAAUUAGCAUGUAUAAUCAAUAUAAAUGGCAUAUCCAGGAUAAAAGAUGGAAAUCAAUGAUUGUUAGAUCUGAAAUUGCUGGAACUGGUUCACCUGGAGCUUCAUAUUCAUAUCAAUUAUCAGUAAGAAUGGAGGAUGGCUGCUACACUUGAUUAUGUUAUGUGACAGUUCUACUUGGAUGCAAUAACAAUUUAUUUUUUGAAAAAGUUUAUGUAGUAAGAUAUGAUCAAAUCAAGUUGUUUUUUGUGACACACAAACACGUUUAUAUUAAUGAUUAUAAUGGUUGGUUA